rnacentral:rRNA from 1 species
AUGAGAAUUUCCAUUGAUGAGUGCAAAGGAAGAACCGCUAGGAUGCAUGUUAAGAAAGAUUCCUUUAUAAGAGCGUGUUCUUUCCAUGAUAAUAAAGAUGAAGAUCUAAAAGUUAUUGAUGUGUCCCCUAUUAAUUUCUUUUGCAAUAUGAAUCUUGAUAAUGAUGGGACUGAAUAUGAUCCAAAUUUACCUAGAAGGCAUUCCAAAAAUUCGGAGUUUUUAGACCUUGAUGCUAAAUUUGAUAAAAGUGGGAUUGAAGAGAUCAAAACUCUAGAUGUUAAUGAACUUACUAUUUUGGAUUUUAAGGAAUUUAAUUAUGAUAAUUGCUCUUUGAUAGAUUGUAUUUCCUUGUUGCAAUCCGUGCUAAAUUCUCCUCAUGCUUAUAGUCAAAAUAAAGCUUUUACCAAACAUAUCGUUGAUAUUUUGAUGCAAUCUUAUGAAGAAAAACUUGAGUUGGAAGUUUCUAUCCCUAGAAAACUUUAUGAUGAGUGGGAACCUACUAUUACAAUUAAAAUUAAAUAUCAUUAA